GUUUAAAUGAAUUAAAAGAUUUCUAUAUUACAAAAAUAGUGUUUUAAAUAUAAACU
rnacentral:tRNA from 1 species